AUUGAACGCUGGCGGCAUGCCUUACACAUGCAAGUCGAACGGCAGCACGGGAGCAAUCCUGGUGGCGAGUGGCGAACGGGUGAGUAAUAUAUCGGAACGUGCCCAGUAGUGGGGGAUAACUGCUCGAAAGAGCAGCUAAUACCGCAUACGACCUGAGGAUGAAAGGGGGGGAUCGCAAGACCUCUCGCUAUUGGAGCGGCCGAUAUCAGAUUAGCCAGUUGUUGGGGUAAAGGCCUACCAAGGCAACGAUCUGUAGUUGGUCUGAGAGGACGACCAGCCACACUGGGACUGAGACACGGCCCAGACUCCUACGGGAGGCAGCAGUGGGGAAUUUUGGACAAUGGGCGCAAGCCUGAUCCAGCAAUGCCGCGUGCAGGAAGAAGGCCUUCGGGUUGUAAACUGCUUUUGUCAGGGAAGAAAUCCUCUAGGUUAAUACCCUUGGGGGGAUGACGGUACCUGAAGAAUAAGCACCGGCUAACUACGUGCCAGCAGCCGCCGUAACAC
rnacentral:rRNA from 1 species